rnacentral:rRNA from 1 species
CCCUUAGAUGUUCUGGGCUGCACGCGCGCUACACUGAAGCUAUCAACACGUUUUCCCUCCCUGAGAAGGGCGGGUAACCUUUUGUAUCAGCUUCGUGGUAGGGAUCGGGGCUUGCAAUUGUUCCCCGUGAACCAGGAAUUCCUAGUAGACGCGAGUCAUAAGCUCGCAUCGAUUAAGUCCCUGCCCUUUGUACACACCGCCCGUCGCUACUACCGAUUGAACGUUUUAGUGAGGCAUUUGGACCGACGCAUCUCAGUUUAACCGCUGGUUUGUGUUGGAAAGACUUCCAAACUUGAGCGUUUAGAGGAAGUAAAAGUCGUAACA